rnacentral:tRNA from 1 species
AAGUAUGAAGCGAUUUAUUGCAUUUAGUUUCGACCUAAUUUUAGAUAUAAAUUAUAUCCUUACUUU